rnacentral:rRNA from 1 species
GGGGCCGGAAUGCGCGCACCAUGCAGUCGAGCGGUAGCACAGAGAGCUUGCUCUCGGGUGACGAGCGGCGGACGGGUGAGUAAUGUCUGGGAAACUGCCUGAUGGAGGGGGAUAACUACUGGAAACGGUAGCUAAUACCGCAUAAUGUCGCAAGACCAAAGUGGGGGACCUUCGGGCCUCAUGCCAUCAGAUGUGCCCAGAUGGGAUUAGCUAGUAGGUGGGGUAACGGCUCACCUAGGCGACGAUCCCUAGCUGGUCUGAGAGGAUGACCAGCCACACUGGAACUGAGACACGGUCCAGACUCCUACGGGAGGCAGCAGUGGGGAAUAUUGCACAAUGGGCGCAAGCCUGAUGCAGCCAUGCCGCGUGUGUGAAGAAGGCCUUCGGGUUGUAAAGCACUUUCAGCGGGGAGGAAGGCGAUAAGGUUAAUAACCUUGUCGAUUGACGUUACCCGCAGAAGAAGCACCGGCUAACUCCGUGCCAGCAGCCGCGGUAAUACGGAGGGUGCAAGCGUUAAUCGGAAUUACUGGGCGUAAAGCGCACGCAGGCGGUCUGUCAAGUCGGAUGUGAAAUCCCCGGGCUCAACCUGGGAACUGCAUUCGAAACUGGCAGGCUAGAGUCUUGUAGAGGGGGGUAGAAUUCCAGGUGUAGCGGUGAAAUGCGUAGAGAUCUGGAGGAAUACCGGUGGCGAAGGCGGCCCCCUGGACAAAGACUGACGCUCAGGUGCGAAAGCGUGGGGAGCAAACAGGAUUAGAUACCCUGGUAGUCCACGCCGUAAACGAUGUCGAUUUGGAGGUUGUGCCCUUGAGGCGUGGCUUCCGGAGCUAACGCGUUAAAUCGACCGCCUGGGGAGUACGGCCGCAAGGUUAAAACUCAAAUGAAUUGACGGGGGCCCGCACAAGCGGUGGAGCAUGUGGUUUAAUUCGAUGCAACGCGAAGAACCUUACCUGGUCUUGACAUCCACAGAACUUUCCAGAGAUGGAUUGGUGCCUUCGGGAACUGUGAGACAGGUGCUGCAUGGCUGUCGUCAGCUCGUGUUGUGAAAUGUUGGGUUAAGUCCCGCAACGAGCGCAACCCUUAUCCUUUGUUGCCAGCGGUUCGGCCGGGAACUCAAAGGAGACUGCCAGUGAUAAACUGGAGGAAGGUGGGGAUGACGUCAAGUCAUCAUGGCCCUUACGACCAGGGCUACACACGUGCUACAAUGGCAUAUACAAAGAGAAGCGACCUCGCGAGAGCAAGCGGACCUCAUAAAGUAUGUCGUAGUCCGGAUUGGAGUCUGCAACUCGACUCCAUGAAGUCGGAAUCGCUAGUAAUCGUAGAUCAGAAUGCUACGGUGAAUACGUUCCCGGGCCUUGUACACACCGCCCGUCACACCAUGGGAGUGGGUUGCAAAAGAAGUAGGUAGCUUAACCUUCGGGAGGGCGCUACCACCUUGGUCGAGUGU